UUUUGAGAACUGUUUUCUGUGCUGGACCAUAUACAAGUCUGUUGGAAAACAGCAUCAUUGAGGGUGAUAAUCCCGUAGAUGAUAUGGACUACCAGUGCAAUAUGAUACAGUCUCUAAGAGUCGAGUUGUUUGGGAAUGCAGCUCAAAGAGGGUGGUAAAUUCCAUCUAAGGCUAAAUAUAGGUGAGAGACCGAUAGCAAACAAGUACCGUGAGGGAAAGAUGAAAAGAACUUUGGAAAGAGAGUUAACAGUACGUGAAAUUGUUAAAAGGGAAACAUUUGAAGUUAGACUUGUUAUUAUUGGUUCAGCUUCUCUUUUUUAAUUAGGAGUUUAUUCCAAUGGUUGACAGACCAGCAUCAAUUUUUGAGUGUUAGAUAAGGGUCUUGGAGAAUGUGGCAACUUUGGUUGUGUUAUAGCUCCUGGCUUGAUAUAAUGCUUAAGAUUGAGGAAC
rnacentral:rRNA from 1 species